GUCUGUAUGAGAGUUAUAUAAAGUCUGGCCUGCCCAUUGGGGUACUAAAAGGCCGCGGUAUUGUGACCGUGCGAAGGUAGCAUAAUCAUUAGUCUUUUAAUUGGAGGUUGGUAUGAAUGGUCGGACGAGAAGUAAGCUGUCUUUAUCUCAUAGAUUGAAUUUAACUUUUAAGUGAAAAGGCUUAAAUGGGUUAGAGGGACGAUAAGACCCUAUAAAGUUUAUACAUGGAGUUAAUCAAGAGUGAUUUGGAAUAGUAAAGUUCAUUAUUAGCAAGAUGUUUAGUUGGGGUGACUAGAAUAUAAGUUAUAUAACUGUUUUUUGUUUUAAUCAGAGAUAUCUGUUUGUAUGGUCCCUUUUUAGGAUUAGAGAGUAAAUUACUUUAGGGAUAACAGCGUAAUUUUUUUUAAGAGUUCUUAUCGACAAAAGAGUUUGCGACCUCGAUGUUGAAUUAAAAAUUUCUUUGUGGCGUAGCAGUUACAAGAGAAGGUCUGUUCGACCUUUAAAUUUUUACAUGAUUU
rnacentral:rRNA from 1 species